rnacentral:rRNA from 1 species
GGAAUUUUGGACAAUGGGCGCAAGCCUGAUCCAGCCAUGCCGCGUGUCUGAAGAAGGCCUUCGGGUUGUAAAGGACUUUUGUCAGGGAGCAAAACUUACUGGUUAAUACCCGGUGAGGCUGAGAGUACCUGAAGAAUAAGCACCGGCUAACUACGUGCCAGCAGCCGCGGUAAUACGUAGGGUGCAAGCGUUAAUCGGAAUUACUGGGCGUAAAGCGCACGUAGGCGGCGACUCAAGUCAGAGGUGAAAGCCCGGGGCUCAACCCCGGAACUGCCUUUGAAACUAGGUCGCUAGAAUCUUGGAGAGGUCAGUGGAAUUCCGAGUGUAGAGGUGAAAUUCGUAGAUAUUCGGAAGAACACCAGUGGCGAAGGCGACACACUGGCUCAUUACUGACGCUGAGGCGCGAAAGCGUGGGGAGCAAACAGGAUUAGAUACCCUGGUAGUCCACGCCGUAAACGAUGAUUGCUAGUUGUCGGGAAGUUUACUUCUCGGUGACGCAGCUAACGCAUUAAGCAAUCCGCCUGGGGAGUACGGUCGCNAAG